rnacentral:rRNA from 1 species
AUUGAACGCUGGCGGUAUGCUUAACACAUGCAAGUCGAACGGUAGCAGGCCUUCGGGCGCUGACGAGUGGCGGACGGGUGAGUAACGCGUAGGAAUCUGCCUCAUAGUGGGGGACAACGUGGGGAAACUCACGCUAAUACCGCAUACGCCCUACGGGGGAAAGCGGGGGAUCUUCGGACCUCGCGCUAUGAGAUGAGCCUGCGUUAGAUUAGCUAGUUGGUAGGGUAAAGGCCUACCAAGGCGACGAUCUAUAGCUGGUCUGAGAGGACGAUCAGCCACACUGGGACUGAGACACGGCCCAGACUCCUACGGGAGGCAGCAGUGGGGAAUAUUGGACAAUGGGCGCAAGCCUGAUCCAGCAAUACCGCGUGUGUGAAGAAGGCCUUAGGGUUGUAAAGCACUUUCACCGGGGACGAUAAUGACGGUA